UACAGAGGUCUCAAGCGUUGUUCGGAUUCAUUGGGCGUAAAGGGUGCGUAGGCUGUGCCGUAAGUCGGAUGUGAAAUCCCGGGGCUCAACCCCGGAACUGCAUUCGAUACUGCGGUGCUAGAGGACUGGAGAGGAGAUUGGAAUUCACGGUGUAGCAGUGAAAUGCUUAGAUAUCGUGAGGAAGGCCAGUGGCGAAGGCGGAUCUCUGGACAGUUCCUGACGCUGAGGCACGAAGGCUAGGGGAGCAAACGGG
rnacentral:rRNA from 1 species